GGGUUGUGAGGUUAAGCGACUAAGCGUACACGGUGGAUGCCCUGGCAGUCAGAGGCGAUGAAGGACGUGCUAAUCUGCGAAAAGCGUCGGUAAGGUGAUAUGAACCGUUAUAACCGGCGAUGUCCGAAUGGGGAAACCCAGUGCAAUUCGUUGCACUAUCGUUAACUGAAUACAUAGGUUAACGAGGCGAACCGGGGGAACUGAAACAUCUAAGUACCCCGAGGAAAAGAAAUCAACCGAGAUUCCCCCAGUAGCGGCGAGCGAACGGGGAGCAGCCCAGAGUCUGAAUCAGCUUGUGUGUUAGUGGAACGGUCUGGAAAGUCCGACGGUACAGGGUGAUAGUCCCGUACACCAAAAUGCACAGGCUGUGAACUCGAAGAGUAGGGCGGGACACGUGGUAUCCUGUCUGAAUAUGGGGGGACCAUCCUCCAAGGCUAAAUACUCCUGACUGACCGAUAGUGAACCAGUACCGUGAGGGAAAGGCGAAAAGAACCCCGGCGAGGGGAGUGAAAAAGAACCUGAAACCGUGUACGUACAAGCAGUGGGAGCACCUUCGGGUGUGACUGCGUACCUUUUGUAUAAUGGGUCAGCGACUUAUAUUCUGUAGCAAGGUUAACCGUAUAGGGGAGCCGCAGGGAAACCGAGUCUUAACUGGGCGUUAAGUUGCAGGGUAUAGACCCGAAACCCGGUGAUCUCAGCCAUGGGCAGGUUGAAGGUUGGGUAACACUAACUGGAGGACCGAACCGACUAAUGUUGAAAAAUUAGCGGAUGACUUGUGGCUGGGGUGAAAGGCCAAUCAAACCGGGAGAUAGCUGGUUCUCCCCGAAAGCUAUUUAGGUAGCGCCUCGUGAACUCAUCUUCGGGGUAGAGCACUGUUUCGGCUAGGGGUCAUCCCGACUUACCAACCCGAUGCAAACUACGAAUACCGAAGAAUGUUAUCACGGGAGACACACGGCGGGUGCUAACGUCCGUCGUGAGAAGAGGGAAACAACCCAGACCGCCAGCUAAGGUCCCAAAGUCAUGGUUAAGUGGGAAACGAUGUGGGAAGGCACAGACAGCCAGGAUGUUGGCUUAGAAGCAGCCAUCAUUUAAAGAAAGCGUAAUAGCUCACUGGUCGAGUCGGCCUGCGCGGAAGAUGUAACGGGGCUAAACCAUGCACCGAAGCUGCGGCAGCGACACUAUGUGUUGUUGGGUAGGGGAGCGUUCUGUAAGCCUGCGAAGGUGUGCUGUGAGGCAUGCUGGAGGUAUCAGAAGUGCGAAUGCUGACAUAAGUAACGAUAAAGCGGGUGAAAAGCCCGCUCGCCGGAAGACCAAGGGUUCCUGUCCAACGUUAAUCGGGGCAGGGUGAGUCGACCCUAAGGCGAGGCCGAAAGGCGUAGUCGAUGGGAAACAGGUUAAUAUUCCUGUACUUGGUGUUACUGCGAAGGGGGGACGGAGAAGGCUAUGUUAGCCGGGCGACGGUUGUCCCGGUUUAAGCAUGUAGGCUGAUUGUCCAGGCAAAUCCGGAUAAUCAAGGCUGAGGUGUGAUGACGAGGCACUACGGUGCUGAAGUAACAAAUGCCCUGCUUCCGGAAAAGCCUCUAAGCAUCAGGUAACAUUAAAUCGUACCCCAAACCGACACAGGUGGUCAGGUAGAGAAUACCAAGGCGCUUGAGAGAACUCGGGUGAAGGAACUAGGCAAAAUGGUGCCGUAACUUCGGGAGAAGGCACGCUGGUGUGUAGGUGAAGUCCCUGCGGAUGGAGCUGAGACCAGUCGAAGAUACCAGCUGGCUGCAACUGUUUAUUAAAAACACAGCACUGUGCAAACACGAAAGUGGACGUAUACGGUGUGACGCCUGCCCGGUGCCGGAAGGUUAAUUGAUGGGGUUAUCCGUAAGGAGAAGCUCUUGAUCGAAGCCCCGGUAAACGGCGGCCGUAACUAUAACGGUCCUAAGGUAGCGAAAUUCCUUGUCGGGUAAGUUCCGACCUGCACGAAUGGCGUAAUGAUGGCCAGGCUGUCUCCACCCGAGACUCAGUGAAAUUGAACUCGCUGUGAAGAUGCAGUGUACCCGCGGCAAGACGGAAAGACCCCGUGAACCUUUACUAUAGCUUGACACUGAACAUUGAGCCUUGAUGUGUAGGAUAGGUGGGAGGCUUUGAAGCGUGGACGCCAGUCUGCGUGGAGCCAACCUUGAAAUACCACCCUUUAAUGUUUGAUGUUCUAACGUUGGCCCCUGACCGGGGUUGCGGACAGUGUCUGGUGGGUAGUUUGACUGGGGCGGUCUCCUCCCAAAGCGUAACGGAGGAGCACGAAGGUUAGCUAAUCCUGGUCGGACAUCAGGAGGUUAGUGCAAUGGCAUAAGCUAGCUUGACUGCGAGCGUGACGGCGCGAGCAGGUGCGAAAGCAGGUCAUAGUGAUCCGGUGGUUCUGAAUGGAAGGGCCAUCGCUCAACGGAUAAAAGGUACUCCGGGGAUAACAGGCUGAUACCGCCCAAGAGUUCAUAUCGAUCGGCGGCGGUGUUUGGCACCUCGAUGUCGGCUCAUCACAUCCUGGGGCUGAAGUAGGUCCCAAGGGUAUGGCUGUUCGCCAUUUAAAGUGGUACGCGAGCUGGGUUUAGAACGUCGUGAGACAGUUCGGUCCCUAUCUGCCGUGGGCGCUGGAGAAUUGAGGGGGGCUGCUCCUAGUACGAGAGGACCGGAGUGGACGCAUCACUGGUGUUCGGGUUGUCAUGCCAAUGGCACUGCCCGGUAGCUAAAUGCGGAAGAGAUAAGUGCUGAAAGCAUCUAAGCACGAAACUUGCCCCGAGAUGAGUUCUCCCUGAGACUUUAAGUCUCCUGAAGGAACGUUAAAGACGAUGACGUUGAUAGGCCGGGUGUGUAAGCGCAGCGAUGCGUUGAGCUAACCGGUACUAAUGAACCGUGAGGCUUAACCUUACAACGCCGAAG
rnacentral:rRNA from 1 species